rnacentral:rRNA from 1 species
GCGUUGUCCGGAGUUACUGGGCGUAAAGGGCAUGCAGGCGGUCGGGCGCGUUUUGUGUGACAGCGGGUGGCUUAACUACCCGAUUAUGCGAAAGACGGUUCGACUUGAGGGCUCGAGAGGGACACGGAAUUCCGGGUGGAGUGGUGAAAUGCGUAGGGAUCCGGAGGAACACCGAAGGCGAAGGCAGUGUCCUGGCGAGUGACUGACGCUGAGGUGCGAAAGCGAG